ensembl:miRNA
AGCGGCCCCUCGUUCCCCAUCACGAAUUACCUGGCGCCAGUGUCUGCCAGCAUCAGCCCCAGUGCCGUCACCAGUGCCAACGGGACAGUGCUGAAGACUACUGGAGCCAGUGCAGUGACAUCCGGGG